rnacentral:rRNA from 2 species
AUUGCCCCAGUAACGGCGAGUGAAGCGGCAACAGCUCAAAUUUGAAAUCUGGCUCUCGGGCCCGAGUUGUAAUUUGUAGAGGAUGCUUUUGGUGAGGUGCCUUCCGAGUUCCCUGGAACGGGACGCCAUAGAGGGUGAGAGCCCCGUCUGGUUGGACGCCGAACCUCUGUAAAGCUCCUUCGACGAGUCGAGUAGUUUGGGAAUGCUGCUCUAAAUGGGAGGUAUAUGUCUUCUAAAGCUAAAUACCGGCCAGAGACCGAUAGCGCACAAGUAGAGUGAUCGAAAGAUGAAAAGAACUUUGAAAAGAGAGUUAAACAGUACGUGAAAUUGUUGAAAGGGAAGCGCUUGUGACCAGACUUGGGCUUGGUUGAUCAUCCGGGGUUCUCCCCGGUGCACUCUUCCGGCCCAGGCCAGCAUCAGUUCGCCCUGGGGGAUAAAGGCAUCGGGAACGUGGCUCUCUCCGGGGAGUGUUAUAGCCCGUUGCGUAAUACCCUGUGGCGGACUGAGGUUCGCGCAUUCGCAAGGAUGCUGGCGUAAUGGUCAUCAGUGACCCGUCUUGAAACACGGACCAAGGAGUCGUCUUCGUAUGCGAGUGUUCGGGUGUCAAACCCCUACGCGAAAUGAAAGUGAACGCAGGUGAGAGCUUCGGCGCAUCAUCGACCGAUCCUGAUGUUAUCGGAUGGAUUUGAGUAAGAGCAUACGGGGCCGGACCCGAAAGAAGGUGAACUAUGCCUGUGUAGGGUGAAGCCAGAGGAAACUCUGGUGGAGGCUCGCAGCGGUUCUGACGUGCAAAUCGAUCGUCAAACAUGGGCAUGGGGGCGAAAGACUAAUC